rnacentral:rRNA from 1 species
UACGGAGGAUGCGAGCGUUAUCCGGAUUUAUUGGGUUUAAAGGGUGCGCAGGCGGAAGAUCAAGUCAGCGGUAAAAUUGAGAGGCUCAACCUCUUCGAGCCGUUGAAACUGGUUUUCUUGAGUGAGCGAGAAGUAUGCGGAAUGCGUGGUGUAGCGGUGAAAUGCAUAGAUAUCACGCAGAACUCCGAUUGCGAAGGCAGCAUACCGGCGCUCAACUGACGCUCAUGCAC